UGGGGAAUUUUGGACAAUGGGCGAAAGCCUGAUCCAGCAAUGCCGCGUGUGUGAAGAAGGCCUUCGGGUUGUAAAGCACUUUUGUCCGGAAAGAAAUCCUUGGCUCUAAUACAGUCGGGGGAUGACGGUACCGGAAGAAUAAGCACCGGCUAACUACGUGCCAGCAGCCGCGGUAAUACGUAGGGUGCAAGCGUUAAUCGGAAUUACUGGGCGUAAAGCGUGCGCAGGCGGUUUGCUAAGACCGAUGUGAAAUCCCCGGGCUCAACCUGGGAACUGCAUUGGUGACUGGCAGGCUAGAGUAUGGCAGAGGGGGGUAGAAUUCCACGUGUAGCAGUGAAAUGCGUAGAGAUGUGGAGGAAUACCGAUGGCGAAGGCAGCCCCCUGGGCCAAUACUGACGCUCAUGCACGAAAGGCGUGGGGAGCAAACAGGAUUAGAUACCCUGGUAGUCCACGCCCCUAAACGAUGUCAACUAGUUGUUGGGGAUUCAUUUCCUAGUAACGUAGCUAACGCGUGAAGUUGACCGCCUGGGGAGUACGGUCGCAAGAUUAAACUCAAGGAAUUGACGGGGUCAUAGCUGUUUCCU
rnacentral:rRNA from 1 species